rnacentral:lncRNA from 1 species
GUGUGAGUGUGUCGCCUGAAUUGGGUUUUGCUUUAUAAGCGGAAUUGGAUCUUAUCAACAAUCUGGGUUUCCUCCUCCUCACACGGAAUUUAGAGUGUGUUUUUGUCGUUUAGCUUCCUUCCCCUGUUUUAUGUUUGUAUUCUGUUGCAGAGAAGUAUGGUGAGUUCCUUGUGGUAGAGGAUUGGCUCCCUUUACACUCAGCAAAGUGAUAUUAUGAAGUUUCCUUCUCUACCAAGACUUCCCCUUUCGGAUCUCACUCGGUUGGUAAUUGCCAAUUAGUAUAGUAGGAGUGUAUUAAUCAGAUUGGAAAAUCAGGGCAUACUCUGCUUCUGGGUUUUGAUCAUCUGUCGUCUUGUGCUUAUGAAGCUAGCGCAGAAGAGGAGAUGACACGUGCGCCCCCCUGGAUUAACCGCCGGCGGUGAUCAUAACGUGAUAUUUCGGUAAACAAAAUGGUUAACGAACCGAUCAUACAAUAAAUCAAAUAUUACAUAAGAAUCAUGGUCCUGAAACGAAGAACAAAAUAUGAUACGAAAUGAUUUGUGUAGGUUUUAAUGGUUGUAGGACACUAAUCUGAUAGUUUUUUUUUGUGUGAAUCGGAUUGAAUUAAGGUUUUUAAGGUGUUUCGGCCUCGAAUCAAACCGGUAGGGUUGGAGUCUAAGCAGAGAAAAAUAUGGGAUAGUGGAAGGAAUGAUCUCCGCUGGUCAUUAAUAGGAGGAAGGACUGGAGGUGUGAAUCUAGGGGGUCCAGUUUGCUGGAUUAGGAGGGUGACACGUCGACGUGUGGCAGGGAUGUGGGAUGUUGCGAGGCGGCCAAGUCGACAACGAGAACCGUUCCACAUGGCGAUGGCUGGGAGAAAACAAAGACAAGGGUUUAGUGAUGACCCACCGAAUAAAUUUACCUUAAACCAUUGGUUAGAAUCGCGGCGGCCGGCGGUGGCGGGGGGUCUACCCGGCCGACCUCGCAAAAGUCGGGGGAAAGGAAGAAUAGGGUAGAGCUCGUCAGUUGGGGGCCCCACACACCUUAAACGGACUUCAAGUUCGCCACUUGUGGUAGGUUUUGACCCC